rnacentral:tRNA from 1 species
GGCAACGUGCCAGAGUGGUUAAUGGGUUAGACUCGAAUCGACGAAAUCUAAUGACUUCGGUCGCACAGGUUCGAAUCCUGUCGUUGUCG